rnacentral:lncRNA from 1 species
UUCUUAUUGGAUGACAGUUAGUGUAAAAUUCUCUAUCUCCUUGUCUGUAACUAAGGAAGCCGACAUUUUGAAUUGCUGAAUGUAUUUACAUGUAAUUUCUACAAUAAUAAGCCAAAAAACUCGCAUGUUGCACCUAAAAGUCUUCUUUUUAUCAAAUUCUAUUACAUUCUGAAGCGGCACAGAAGCCAGAAAGCGCCCGGUGUUUAUGUUUGACGCCGGAAGAAAACCUUUGACGUCACCUAGUGUAGGGACCAAAGAAGAGAACAUCUUUUCGCGGAAUUUUCUUUAAUGAAGAUUUUACACUGAAAUAAUGAUUGAAAUUUAAUUAUGAAUUUGUUUUGCAUUAGAAUAGAGAUAACUGUAUUGUAUUUUAAGCUUUAAGGACGUCCAUCGGUAGUUUUACUGUCGCAAAAACCCGUUUACCUGUCUCCGCUACGCGUCGCCAGGUAAACUAAAUUUGCGACAGUAAAACUACCGAUGGAC